AAAGUCGUAACAAGGUUUCCGUAGGUGAACCUGCGGAAGGAUCAUUAACGAAUCCAAAUCUUACUUGCCUUAGCGGUAACUUGAUGCUGUUCUUCGGGGUCGGCUUCGGUCGUUAAAUCGUCUGUGGGUACGGUGAACUUCGGUUUGCUAGGCGGGCCCCGAAUUAGUUUUUUUACCCACGCGUUCACUCAAUGCCUUAACGUUUCGAUUCCUCGGACGGACUCGAUCCGAACGAGAGUUGCCUAAAAGCGAACAACUUUAAACGGUGGAUCUCUUGGCUCGUGCAUCGAUGAAGAACGCAGCAAACUGCGAUAAGUAAUGUGAAUUGCAGAAUUUAGUGAAUCAUCGAAUCUUUGAACGCAAAUGGCGCUCUUGGGCAUUCCCAGGAGCACGCCUGUCUGAGCGUCGUUUCUCACAUCCCAACUCUCAGGAGCUGGGGCCAUGAGGUGUCCUUUUGCUGCGAAGCGAACGGUCCCUUGAAGUAUAGCGAUCCCGAGUUGUGCGGAAGCCUUUCUUGGCCCGUGCUUCUCGGUGUGGUAGAAAUAUCUCACCGAGGAUACGUGCUUGGAGAGUGUCGGAUGUCUUCUCAUAGGGACGACUGGAAAGGAGGAUGAAAGCUUUCGGGCAUUCGUUCGACCAAUCAAGACCUCAGAUCAGACGAGACUACCCGCUGACCUUAAGCAUAUCAAUAAGCGGGAGGAA
rnacentral:rRNA from 1 species